AAUAUAUUUUAAAGUCAGUGAAAAGUGAUUUUGGGCUGGGCACAUGACCCGAGAUCACGCCACGCACUCCAGCCUGGGUGACAGAGUGAGACUCCGUCUAAAAAAUAAAUAAAUAAAAGUUAGACACAGUUUAGAGGUACUUGUGCUGACCUGAAUUCACUGAAAUGCUUUUCCUACAUCCCAGUGACUGUGAAGUGCUGACCACACUCACCCCAGACACUGGCCGUAUCCUGUCCAAGCUACAUACUGUCCAACCCAAGGGCAAGAUCACCUUCUGCACGGGCAUCCGCGUGGCCCAUCUGGCUCUGAAGCACCGACAAGGCAAGAAUCACAAGAUGCGCAUCAUUGCCUUUGUGGGAAGCCCAGUGGAGGACAAUGAGAAGGAUGUGAGUCCAAGUGGCAGCUGG
rnacentral:lncRNA from 1 species